rnacentral:lncRNA from 1 species
CUAAACCUCGGCAUUACUAUUACCAUCGUCGUCGUUACCUUUCAUAUCCUUCACGUUGUUGAGAGGCGAAAUCCGCCCUACGAGACCCCAGCAGACCUUUAUCCUCUUCCUCUUAUACAUCCGGCCGGCCGGCCACGGCGAGAACGUCGCUUCCCAAGUUCUCGGCCGUGCAGACCGUUGUCGUCAGCUACCUUGGUCGGUCUCCACCUCUUUUUCAGGUACUGCUGGCUGCCUUUUUUUUAUUUUUAUUUGUUGUCGUUCUUUUUGUACGGUCGUGAAGGAUCGAGUAUAUUAUUUGGUCUUUCCAGGUUGAUAUGGUGUUGGCGAUCCAUGUUGCAGACCAACUGUUUGUUGAUUUUCCCAUUAUAAUUACUCUUGGUGUACUAGAUGUCUAGUUAGUUUGGUCGAUUCCACGCAUCGUUCGAUCGUCUGAUUUUGUCUUGGAUAGUCGAAGCUAAUAGGUUGGCCAAUCGGUCCUGCAUUUCGUGUGCUGUUUGUAUUUCAUGUUACCAUGAGGUCCAAUCGAAUCUUGCGUUCUGUAUGCUUCUGUGUUUCCUUGUUCCAAGAGCCUUUCAAGCAGACUUCCGAGCUAUCCUUCUUAAUAUCAUCGACUUCCAAUCUUGAUUAUUUUGCACUGCUGAUCCAAGGGUUAUACACACUUUUCUACCUUUUUCAUGGUAUAAUGGAGGAACAUUUAAGAUUGUAUGGGCAUGUUCAGGAGAUCUAUGGAGAGGUAAAAGAAGACUAAAUAAAAUUUUGUUGGAAACAGUGAAAUAAGAUCUGUUGUCCUUAGUUUAACUAGUGAUGUUUUCUUUGACAGAACUCGGUGGUGGGAAAGCUUUCAUGUAAGCCUACCCAGAUGGUUUGGAUCUGCCUCAUGGCUUGGUCUUGUCGUUGUCGAACUUGGAUAACCUCUUAUGCUUUUUAUUGAUUUUUAGAGAAAGGUAAUUUUUCACUUUUAUUGUGGUAUUCUUGGAGAUCAGGGUUAGUACAAUGAUAAGGUUGGUCCUUUGUAACCGGAGAGAUCAGGAUUUGAGUCACGAAAAUAAUCUCUUUAAACUAUUUAAAUGUAAUGCUGCGUACAUUAACCCUCCUUAAACCCUGCAUUAGUGGGAGUGUUUGUCAUUUUUAUUAUGAUAUUUUUGAAAGCCUUUCUAUCAAGUUACCUAGUGUGGAAACUUUAAUCUUCUCAAUGGGCAUGUGAAUUCUCUUGAAUUAUGAAGGUUUAUCUUUCCUUGGAAAUUUCGUUUUUAGGUUUAUUAAUUAAGGAUUCGACUGUAUCCUUCAUUUAUUCUGAUGUAAUAACAUUGAUGCUAAAGUGUCUUUAGACCAGAUCGAUCCAUGGUUCAAUAUCUCUUUAAUCAUUUUGAUGCUAUUGUUUGUUGUCUUGGUACACAGCUCCUUUGAGGCCAUUCGAUUGAAUAUUAUGACCAUGUUCUCUAUGAGAUGGUAGCAAGCAGGGAGGGUCUAGAGAAUGGAAUAAACUCAAGGCUUCAUGAUCUAAAGGCUUUAAUGUCAUUUGGAUUCACUCAUAGGAAGAUGCCUAAAGUACUCAUUUUGAUUGCCUUGAUUAUCAAAGUGAAAAGUGGUACUUCACAUUUUGUUCCUUUCUUAUUUUUUCUUUAUCUCUGCUCACAACUUGAAAUAGUAAGUAGAAACUAAUUGACUCCUAUUCAUGGUGGUUCAUGGAACCUUUGAUCUUGUUACAUGUGUACACAUACCAGUUGUCAUAACCAGUGUUUCCUUUCUCACUGAUUUCAGUGUCAUCUGGGUUGUUUUAGUGUAUGGAAUGAUGGUUGUCCAACUGCAUCUUGUCUCAAUUCCAAUAUUUACUUUCUUAUAUCAUGAUAGUAUAUAUGAUAAGGUCUGCUUUACGUUUCUUUUUUCUUCCGUCGGAAUGCUUAGUGUGCUUCAUAGUUUAACAGUCUACAUAUAUUCCUUGUCAGAUUUCAAUGAAUCUAAUUUUCACAAAGUGCGACAAACGUAAGAAGACGACGAUGUGUGGUGGGUGGUAGAAGAUGAGGAUGAUGAUGAUGAUGAAUGGUGGCAGAAGACACGAAGAAAAUGUUGAGAAAAUUUUCUUAUCUGCUCAUGCUGCGCUGAGGUAAUCACUGCCCCCUCAUGUCUCUCUGUUCGAAGCAGAUGACUGCCGAUGGAGCUAAAACUAGUACAAAGCAAGCAGCCAUUUUAACUCGACAAGCUAUAGAUCUACUUGCUUUACUUUCCGCCGGUGGCAAUGAAUUAUAUGCUUGGGCAUAGCUUCAAUUAGUCUUGACGUAUGACUUGAGGGAACUUUGCUGCUCAAGCUUCCUCAAAUAAAUAUUAUAAGUAAAUAGGGUACAUUAAUUUUGAUUAUAGAGGUGAGCUAAGCAAAUUUAUGAAUGGUAAACAAUAUCUUCUUAAGAUGCAGGUGCAACGUCUGUUUGGGGUAGUCUUUUGCUUACAAUGACUAGUAGAAUCCAUGGCCGAGUAGUGAGAAUGGAAAGUUGGCUUCCGCCGCCGCUGUCUCUGAACCCGUCAUGCUCAGUUCGAAUUCUGGGAGGAAGCUGAUUUCGCUUGCAGAAUUGGGACCGAUAAGCUCAGCAUCGUAGCUGUUGAUGGCGGAAACAUCGGUAAUGAGUGCAAAUGGUUUCACUUCCUCCAUUAUCAACUGAUCACUUCCAUGAUCUAAUGGCUCGAACAUUGUCUGUUGAAUCCCUGGAACCAGAAUGGAAGGCAGGA